UACGUAGGUGACCAGCGUUGUCCGGAUUUACUGGGCGUAAAGAGCGCGCAGGCGGUCGUUCAAGUCGAGUGUGAAAGCCCCCGGCUCAACUGGGGAGGGUCACUCGAUACUGAUCGACUGGAAGGCAGGAGAGGGAAGCGGAAUUCCCGGUGUAGUGGUGAAAUGCGUAGAUAUCGGGAGGAACAUCAGUUGCGAAGGCGGCUCUCUGGACCAGCACUGACACUGAGGCACGAAAGCGUGGGGAGCAAACAGG
rnacentral:rRNA from 1 species